rnacentral:rRNA from 1 species
CCUACGGGGGGCUGCAGUGGGGAAUAUUGGACAAUGGGGGGAACCCUGAUCCAGCCAUGCCGCGUGUGUGAAGAAGGCCCUCGGGUUGUAAAGCACUUUCAGUGAGGAAGAACGCCUGGUGGUUAAUACCCAUCAGGAAAGACAUCACUCACAGAAGAAGCACCGGCUAACUCCGUGCCAGCAGCCGCGGUAAUACGGAGGGUGCGAGCGUUAAUCGGAAUUACUGGGCGUAAAGCGCGCGUAGGUGGCUUGAUAAGCCGGUUGUGAAAGCCCCGGGCUCAACCUGGGAACGGCAUCCGGAACUGUCAAGCUAGAGUGCAGGAGAGGAAGGUAGAAUUCCCGGUGUAGCGGUGAAAUGCGUAGAGAUCGGGAGGAAUACCAGUGGCGAAGGCGGCCUUCUGGACUGACACUGACACUGAGGUGCGAAAGCGUGGGUAGGAAACAGGAUUAGAUACCCUAGUAGUC